rnacentral:rRNA from 1 species
UACGAAGGGUGCAAGCGUUAAUCGGAAUUACUGGGCGUAAAGCGCGCGUAGGUGGUUGUGUAAGUUGGAUGUGAAAGCCCCGGCGUACUGGACGUGCAUUCAAACUAGCACGGCUAGAGUACGGAGAGGGGUAGGAAUUCCAGGUGUAGCGGUGAAAUGCGUAGAGAUCUGGAGGAAUACCGAUGGCGAAGGCAAUCCCUGGGCUGCACUGACGCUCAUGCACGAAAGCGU